CCUGAAAUCCUGGAUGCCCCCUGCCCAGGCACGAGGAAAAGAGUAAGAGCUCAGAUGGCUGUCAUAGGAGAGGCUUCAAGCAGCACCAACAGCCACAGCCUGCUUGCCCCUGGGCAGAGGCUCUGGGCUGCCCAAAUGGGGCUGCUGUCACCUGGGCCACUUGUCUCAGACCACCAGCACCCCCUACAUCAUCAUCACCUUCAUCACUACCACCAGUUGAAAGCUGAGCCGGUGGAGUUUCAUUCCAGGCUCUGCUUCCAGGGGCCCCUGAACGACUCUGUCUCUCACCACCUUGCUCAGCUCACCCUGACGUGACGUCCGACACUCACGCCUGUUUCCUGCCUGAGGUCGCUGAGCCCUGCGGACCCUGGACAGACGGAGUCGGUGGGUUCUGAGAGCAGAAGUUCCCUGAGGAGAGGGGUGGUGUCUAUUCCCUGGAAAGCCUGGCAGACUGUCAGUUACCCAAUACAUUUCAAGGGCUUUUAGAUGAUGAUGAUGAUGAUGAUGAUGAUGAUGAUGAUGAUGAUGAUGAGAAUGCUGCUGCCAGCAAUCCUAUAAGCUGCUUGAAGACAACCUGGAUCAACACUUUUCUUGGGAGUCACUCAGCUGCCACAAGACCAGUGUCCGAUGGGCAAACUCUCCAAACCACCAGAUCUUUAACAGCCGUUAGCAACCUCUGUGGAGAGCAAUCACGCUCACUCCACACUUACACAUUCACAUCCUCUUUGACGCAGCAAUUUCACUGAGCUGUCCUGCAGAUCAUACAUGCCGCAAAUGACAUAGGGAUAACAUAAUUCAUGGAAGCGUCGCUAGCAUUAGCAAAGAGCUGGAAACAACCUAAAUGUCCACAGGAGAGCCCUGGUUCAAGAAAUGACGGUCUAGCGAAACCAUGAAUUUACACAGCUGUGUAGGAAAGUGGGACAGUCUUCAUGUGAUGACAGAAUUAUCUUCAAGAUAGAUUAUGAAGGGGAGGAAAACAGAGCAGAACAGGGCGAAAAGGAGAGGGGAUGUGGGUGGCUAAGGACAGGAGUGAGAGAGACUGACUUUUGGAUCAUGUGAAUGUAUUACUUUUUUGAAAAAGCAAAUAAAAACAACAGUUAAGCAUCAAACUCAGAUCUUUUAUAGUCAUCUCCCUUUAUUACACAGAUUCUUAUCGAGGACCUGCUAAGUGCUGGGCAGUGUGCCACCGAUGAGUAGUGCAAAGAAGAAAGACCUUCAGGAAUGCCUUAUAUGGGGUGGUAGGUGGGCACGGGGGGAGAGUAGAAGUGACUCAGCUAUUAUAACUCAUCCGUAUAUGCCAAACAUGGGUUAAGUACAGAUGCUGUGGGUACAUCAAAACAGGGCAACUGACGCAGAUACAGGGCCCGGGAUGGCUUCCUGGAGGCGGUGUGUUAGCCUUGAACUAUGAGUAGCAGGCAGCCAGGGGGAAAAAGGGGGAAGGGGAUUCUGGGAAGGGAGAACUGCAGGAACAAAAGUUGGGAGCUGUGACCCAGCCUGACAGGUGGGAACCUUCAGGGGGCACUGAAAAGAUGGCUAAGUUCAUGUUCCGAGGGAGGAGUCUGAAUAAAAACCUAGAAGUGUAUGUCUCUUUUACGGAGAAGCCAAAUCAACACUGGGGAGAGGGUGCCAGUCCUGGGCUUUGGAUCGCUUCUCUUCACCUCUCUCCAACCUCCCUCAACCCAGAAACUGGGCUGGAAUCAGCCUGGCUGUUAGAGGCUGGUCCCGGACAUGGCCUGUGACCAACACUCACCUCCCUCCUACCUGGAUGUCACACUCGAUCAAUCAGCACACGUUCCCUGAGGAACCACCCGGCCCGACAGUGCUGAGGGGCCCAGGACAAGUUUAAGAUACAGCCUGUGGCCUAGGAGGAGAUAGAAUUUACACACACAAUGACCUAAAAACAGAACAACUCAAUUUAUGACGUUGUCUUUAAAAGCCUGGUCCAGAGCAGGGACGCAAACAGAUACCUGAUGCUGAUGUUCAUAGAAACAUCAUUCACAAUAACCAAAAGGUAGAAGCAACCCGAGUGUCAUCAACAGAUGAAUGAAUAAGCAAAAUGAGUUCUAUCCAUACAAUGGAAUAGCGCUCAGCCGUAAUAAGAAAUUCUGACACUGGCUACAACAUGGAUGGACCUUGAAGACAUUAUACUAAGCAAACAAAGACAGACACGCAAGGACAAAUACUGGAUGAUUCUCUUCAUGUGGAAUAUAUAGCAUAAAUAUAGAGACAAGAUCAUAAGGUGGAAAGUGAGUCCGAGGCUCAGGGAGGAAUGGCAGUUAUUGCAUAGAAACAGGUACAGAAUUUCUGUUUGGGUGAUGAAAAAUUUUAGUGAUAGUGAAAAUGGUUCUACAACACAGUGAAUGCAGUUAAUGGCACUGAACUGCACACUUAAAAAUGGUUAAAUAGCAAACUUGGUAUAUGUAUUUUACCACCAAAAAAAAAAAAAUGUUUAAAUAUUGUGGCUCAGAAAGGGGAGAUAGUGAGAUCUCAGUUAAUUUAGGAGGG